rnacentral:rRNA from 1 species
AUUGAACGCUGGCGGCAUGCCUUACACAUGCAAGUCGAACGGCAGCACGGGAGCAAUCCUGGUGGCGAGUGGCGAACGGGUGAGUAAAGUAUCGGAACGUGCCCAGUCGUGGGGGAUAACGUAGCGAAAGUUACGCUAAUACCGCAUACGAUCUAUGGAUGAAAGCGGGGGAUCGCAAGACCUCGCGCGAUUGGAGCGGCCGAUAUCAGAUUAGGUAGUUGGUGGGGUAAAGGCGCACCAAGCCGACGAUCUGUAGCUGGUCUGAGAGGACGACCAGCCACACUGGGACUGAGACACGGCCCAGACUCCGACGGGAGGCAGCAGUGGGGAAUUUUGAACAAUGGGCGCAAGCCUGAUCCAGCCAUGCCGCGUGCAGGAUGAAGGCCUUCGGGUUGUAAACUGCUUUUGUACGGAACGAAAAGGUUUGACUUAAUACGUUGGACUCAUGACGGUACCGUAAGAAUAAGCACCGGCUAACUACGUGCCAGCCGCCGCCGUAA